rnacentral:tRNA from 1 species
GGCGGCGGCGGGUGGCGCGGGUGCGUCCGGCGCCUCGGGUGCGUCCGGCGCCUCGGGUGGCUCGGGUGCCUCCGCCGCUUC